UGGGGAAUUUUGGACAAUGGGGGCAACCCUGAUCCAGCCAUGCCGCGUGAGUGAAGAAGGCCUUCGGGUUGUAAAGCUCUUUCAGACGGAAAGAAAACGCAUCGGUGAAUACCCGGUGUGGAUGACGGUACCGUAAGAAGAAGCACCGGCUAACUACGUGCCAGCAGCCGCGGUAAUACGUAGGGUGCGAGCGUUAAUCGGAAUUACUGGGCGUAAAGCGUGCGCAGGCGGUUAUGUAAGACAGAUGUGAAAUCCCCGGGCUCAACCUGGGAACUGCGUUUGUGACUGCAUAACUAGAGUACGGCAGAGGGAGGUGGAAUUCCGCGUGUAGCAGUGAAAUGCGUAGAUAUGCGGAGGAACACCGAUGGCGAAGGCAGCCUCCUGGGCCAGUACUGACGCUCAUGCACGAAAGCGUGGGGAGCAAACA
rnacentral:rRNA from 1 species